rnacentral:rRNA from 1 species
UACAGAGGGGGCAAGCGUUGUUCGGAAUUACUGGGCGUAAAGGGCGCGUAGGCGGCCUUCUAAGUCGAACGUGAAAUCCCUGGGCUCAACCCAGGAACUGCGUCCGAGACUGGGAGGCUAGAAUCCGGGAGACGGAUGUGGAAUUCCAGGUGUAGCGGUGAAAUGCGUAGAUAUCUGGAGGAACACCGGUGGCGAAGGCGGGUCUCUGGGCCGAUACUGACGCUGAGGAGCGAAAGCGUGGGGAGCGAACAGG